UGGUCAUUAUCAAGGCUUUUAGAAUGCAGUUUCUCGAUUGCUGUGGACAUGACCAUAAAAAAAACCUUCCACUAGGUUUUCUAUCUGCUACUUUGCUAGCACUCAGCCUACUGGGGACAUUU
ensembl:snoRNA